rnacentral:rRNA from 1 species
GAUGAACGCUGGCGGCGUGCCUAAUACAUGCAAGUCGAGCGAACAGACGAGGAGCUUGCUCCUCUGACGUUAGCGGCGGACGGGUGAGUAACACGUGGAUAACCAACCUAUAAGACUGGGAUAACUUCGGGAAACCGGAGCUAAUACCGGAUAAUAUAUUGAACCGCAUGGUUCAAUAGUGAAAGACGGUUUUGCUGUCACUUAUAGAUGGAUCCGCGCCGCAUUAGCUAGUUGGUAAGGUAACGGCUUACCAAGGCAAGGAUGCGUAGCCGACCUGAGAGGGUGAUCGGCCACACUGGAGCUGAGACACGGUCCAGACUCCUACGGGAGGCAGCAGUAGGGAAUCUUCCGCAAUGGGCGAGAGCUUGACAGAGCAACGCCGCGUGAGUGAUGAAGAUCUUCGGAUCGUAAAACUCUGUUAUUAGGGAAGAACAAAUGUGUAAGUAACUAUGCACGUCUUGACGGUACCGAAUCAGAAAGCCACGGCUAACUACGUG